CCUACGGGUGGCAGCAGUCGAGAAUCAUGCACAAUGGGGGAAACCCUGAUGGGGCGACGCCGCGUGGGGGAAUGAAGGUCUGCGGAUUGUAAACCCCUGUCAUGUGGGAGCAAAUUAAAAAGAUAGUACCACAAGGGGAAGAGACGGCCAACGCGGGGCCAGCAGCCGCGGUAAUACAGAGGUCUCAAGCGUUGUGCGGAAUAACUGGGCGUAAAGCGUGCGUAGGCUGUUUCGUAAGUCGUGUGUGAAAGGCGCGGGCUCAACCCGCGGACGGCACAUGAUACUGCGAGACUAGAGUAAUGGAGGGGGAACCGGAAUUCUCGGUGUAGCGGUGAAAUGCGUAGCUAUCGAGCGGAACACUCGUGGCGAAGGCGGGUUCCUGGACCUUAACUGACGCUGAGGCACGAAGGCCCGGGGAGCGAAAAGGAUUAGAUACCCUAGUAGUC
rnacentral:rRNA from 1 species